rnacentral:rRNA from 1 species
UACGAAGGGGGCUAGCGUUGCUCGGAAUCACUGGGCGUAAAGGGUGCGUAGGCGGGUCUUUUAAGUCAGGGGUGAAAUCCUGGAGCUCAACUCCAGAACUGCCUUUGAUACUGAAGAUCUUGAGUUCGGGAGAGGUGAGUGGAACUGCGAGUGUAGAGGUGAAAUUCGUAGAUAUUCGCAAGAACACCAGUGGCGAAGGCGGCUCUCUGGGACGGUACUGACGCUGAGACGCGAAAGCGUGGGGAGCGAACAGG